GACGAACGCUGGCGGCGUGCUUAACACAUGCAAGUCGAGCGGUAAGGCCCUUUCGGGGGUACGACGAGCGGCGAACGGGUGAGUAACACGUGGGUGACCUGCCCUCAGCUCUGGGAUAAGCCUGGGAAACCGGGUCUAUACUGGAUAUGACUCCAUGACGCAUGUUGUGGGGUGGAAAGCCUUGUGCGGCUGAGGAUGGGCCCG
rnacentral:rRNA from 1 species